rnacentral:lncRNA from 1 species
ACUUGGUAGGAUAGCAGGGUGUCUACCUGAAGACUUCGACUUUGGACGUUUUAAGUGGCAAAUGGUUUGAUGCAGCCCUUGGAUGCCCGGAGUGUGUCUGUGAGUGAGUGUGUAUGUGUGUACCAAGCAUUGGGGGAUGGCUGUGUGUCCCACUGAAGGAGACAGGAGAUGUUUUGCUCUACCCUUCCCCAAGCUGCAUUCAGGACCAGCUGGUAAUGUGUGGACCAAGUGCAAAAAUAAAAAUGGCCUCCUCCUUGCUCCAAAUGAUUAGGGAUUUCAGCAGGGGCAGCAGAGAACUGAGCUGAGUUUGGGCCCUGCUGUUUGGAGGGGCUCCAACACCCUGGGGCUGGCCUUGACUACACUGUGAAUGGAGCAGGGAGGGCCUUGUUAUGUCUUUCUUCUUUGGAAAGGUCUCCCUGGCAGGCUGCGCGGAGCUGAGAUGGAAACACAUCGUCCCUUCUCCCUCUCUCCCCCCUCCCUCCCUUGUUUUCUUUUCCUUUCCUUGCAGUGCUAAUUAUCAAAGCCAGGGCCUCGUGCAUUCUUAGAAAGUGAGGUGCUUUUCAAAACUCUACUCUUUUAUCUCUUAAAAGUACAAACAGUGCAGAAUAAUUACAGCGCCCGAACCCCCGGCUAACACCUGGAAGCGCCCUGGAUGGACGGGGAAUGGUCAACAUAGGUUGAUGGUUUCUCAAGUCUCCGUCCAGGGUGUGUCUCUGGAUAUCAAGUGGGGCCUUUGAGUCUUCAAAGUUGAAUUUUCUGCUUUGAAAUGAAACCUUUCCCUAUUCAAGGGUUGGUCUCCCGGUUUCUGGUGUCACAGAGGAGAUUCUAAACUACUUUAAUGGAGAAGAGCCUAGAAGAGCACAGGGUCCCUGUCUGACAUCGAGAGGUCCUUUGUUCCUUUAGAUACUGCUUUCUGGAGAGAGAGUGGGCGGAGCCAGAUGCCUCUCUGCCCUAGAGGCCAAGUGUCUGAGAGUUUACUCCUGGGAGGCAGGGCUCUCACGGGAUAGAUCCUCCAUGUGUCUUUGGGUGUUCGCAAAGAAGAAAGGCUCUGCUGUGUGUGUAACCUCUGCAUUCUGGAAGCCCACAGCUCUGGGGAGGCCAGAAGUUAGGAAGCCGCUCCUCAAAGGUGUGUGUGUGUGUGUGUGUGUGUGUGUGUGUUGCUUUGUUGUGCAGCCUGUGUUGUGUUGGAUGCUCCAAGCCCUUUGAGGCUCUGUUUGCCGUUUGCAGAUGUGGACCCAUGUCCACACAUGCAGAGCAAUAAUCUUUCUCGAGUUUCCCGAUUCCACUCCUGUAAUCCCAGCGCUCCAGAGAUAGAAGCAGGAGAAUCAGGAGUUUAAGGCCAGUCUGGGCUACGUGAGACCCUCUUUCAAAACUAGAAACACAGAAACUGAGAAGGGAAAACCCACAGAAGGCUCACCUGCCUCAGCUUUAAAUCACCUUAAAUGGGUCAUGAUCCCUAGAGGGACCUGACCACUACUCUGCCAGCAUCCAUUUUAAUGAGUGAAGAUUUUGGAUACCCUUCAUCAAUUAACAUUCUCUAAGCGUUACUUGCUGAAUAUUGCUGUCAGAUCGUUCUCUCAAAUGAUGCUCAAUGGUAAGACAUGCAUUUAACUGAGCAUUUGUUGUCAAUGGAGCUGAGAGGUCAGCCUCAGCUCUGGUCCUUGGCAGCCCACAAGCUAAAGUCUCCUUGCCCCUCCGUCUGCCGCGGUGCACACAGGGGCGCAGGCUACCAUUCCCCUGUGCUGUACUGUCUUCGCUCUUCUGCUCUGCAACAUUCCACACGUCGAUGGUGAACAUAGGUGAACAUAUCUGUACAGAGGCGAGAAACCUCCGCCAAAUGUCCUGUGUCUGACAGUCAGCUCACAGCUCCUGGGUUUCUGUAUUUUGUGCAUUUUCCAACAAAGGAAAAAGACGGAAAUCCACUACAUAAUGUGAAAAGAUUGUGUUCUGUAUGUGGUUCGUCAGGAAAUCUUUGCUGUAUGUUUUUGGCAAUGAUGAUUAUAUGUGUAUACAGUAUGUAAGAGGCUAUGCUGUUCAAUGUUGCAUAAACUUAACAGUCUCUAGUCUGAAUAUCUAACUUGUUAUUGUAAAAUGUGAUUUCUCAUCGAGAGAUUAUUUUUCUGUAUGUAUAUGAGAGUAUUUUAGGAAUCUAACUUAAGUGCAUAAACUAUAGAAGAAACUUAAAAUCAUAUCCCAGGAGUAGAAAUGCGUGAUCAGGUCACUUGGGUUCAACCCAUCUAAAUUUUAUUAAAAAACAAAUCC